AGGGCCAAUUUUACAAACCGGGUCUUAGUUGGGCCAAUUGUGUUUUAUAGGUGCUUAAUGAGGGCCUAGAGCCAUUUCCAUGUUGGGAUUGCUCUAAGUGGCUCUAUCCUCAAGCUUUCUUCAUCUAAUUUAUCUCUCAUCUACAAAGAUUUCCUCAUCGUCGUUGUAUCUCUUGGCUUCUCAAUUUUUCUGGUGAGUGUUUUAGAACAGAACAUAGCUUUAGAAACUUUAGAAAAUUCAGUAUAUUAUUCUUAUAAGAAGUUGUGGAUCGAAUUGAGACCUUAAUUUUUCUUAACGAUUCAAUACAGUUUGGGUGGUUUGAUUUGGAAAUCGAAACCACUUUGGUAUUUGCUCAUCAAAGUCUUAAUACAAGGUGGUGGACGCUCAAUUUUCUGGUGGAAGGUUGUGCGAUUUUUCAAUCAGGUAAUUGGGAAGUUUCAAUUUCACAAUUUUUAUUGAGAACUUUUGAUUUUGCUUUGAAAGUCUUAACACUAAGACUGAUCAUAUUUUCUGCAACACCUUUGCCAUGAUAUAUUGUUAUUGCUUGAUUUCUUCUACUAUGAUUUGAAACCUGUACUUAAGUAUUUACAAUUGUGUUUGAGAGAUGGUAAAAUUUUGUUUUGAAUCUAGAAUUCUAGAGAUUAUAUCUCUAUCAUAGAAAUGACAAAUCAACUUCAAGAAAAAAAAACACAAGAAUGUAUUUGUGAUAUUGUACUUUCAACUGGUCACCUAGAUUAACUACCCUUUCACUCUUCUAUACUAAACCCUGACUACGAAAUACCACUUUACCAGUCUAUUUUUCUGUAAAGAUUUCAAUAAUCAUGGCUAUAUGGAAGAUUUGAAUUUACACAACUCCAACAAUUAAUAGUGGUUGAAGAUGAAGUUGUCAGUAAGGAGACUAGGCUAAUUUUUUCUUCUUGUCUUGCUAGAAAUUAAGAGUCAACUUAUUAGGGUUUUUUUUUCUGCCUUUACAAGUUUACAGAUUGUUUCAUUCAUAGGAGGGCAAAAGAAAGUAGUACAAAAUUCUCUGCCCACACCAACAGCUACCAGAUAAUCAGCAACUCUGUUGGCUUCUCUAUAGGUGUGGGCAAUAAAAACACUAACAAAUCUAUUACAAACAUUAAGGGUAGCUCUGAGUAAGUUUAAACAAUACCAAGGAGGAGUCUCUCUCUUCGGCAAACAGUUGACAGUUCUUAGUGAGUCUAUUGCCACAUUACCUUCUUGUUUCCAUCUGGUAGGCUAAUUCUAGUCCCUCCUUUACAGCACUGAGUUCUUGCCAGAUAACAGAGUUGACUGGACUUGCACCCAUGAAAGCACUAAUCACCUGGCCUUCAUGAUUCCUUAGAAUACCUCCAAUACCCGCGCCCUUAUCAUUCACAACACCACCUAUAUUGAUCAUUACUGUAUCAAUCUCUGGUCCCUUCCAUUUGAACAUCUCGACAAUUCCGUCCUUCAAAAUAGCGGUAAUAUUAGGUCUGUCAAGUAGGGCUUUAGUGGCAAAGCUAUCUGCAUUUCUAUUUGUCUUGGAGAAGGCAGGGCAUGAUAAUACGUCAGGUUAGUUAUUCUGAGUUUGGAGUUUGUUAGAAAAAGUUUUUUUUUUUUUGCAUAUGUUUUAACUUAAUUCUUUGGUUGUCACUAAGAAGACUUAAGGUUAUGAUGAAAAGAUUUUUGUUAUGUAAUCUAAGUUCUUUACAUUUUAUUUUGUUUUUAGUUACAGAUAAUCGAAAUCAUCUUGACUAUUUGAAUUUUUGUGGUACAAUGAUUUCUUAGUGCAAGGAUUUGGUUUCAAAUUGUGGCAGUGCAGAUUUUUCAAGUGUGGAUCUACCUAGUUCCAGAUUAUGUGCUGAUUCUUAGUAAGAGAAGUGAUUUUUUUUCUUGUGUCUAUAUACUUUAAGAAGAACUGAUAUUGUUUGGGACCCCUUAAUGGUACAAUACCACAUUUACAACUGCUCUGGUAUUCUGCCUCUCAUGCACACAGUUUUUUUUUUUUUUUUGGUACAAUCAUGCACACAAUUAUCUACACCCAGUGUUACAUCCCUCGCUUUAAUAAAAAGGCUUGACUUAUGUAUUGUGUAGUGGGAGUUGUCUUUAUCCUGCACUUUUUCUAUUAGGUGUACUCAUGUUGAUUGUUUUUCUGGUUAAUGAGGUUGCUAUGAGUAAUUACAUUAAUUGGGCAUAUAAAAUUGAAGUUUCUUAAAUUUGUUUCAUUCAUUUGUUUUUCUUGUGGAAUAUAUUUCUUAAGCUUUUCUGUUUCACAAUGUUUCACAAGACGAAUUCGGAGCAUAGCUUAAGGAACUAGGAGUUGAGUUUGUGGAACUUCUUCAGACUACAACUAUUGCCACAACAUCAUCAAAGCAUGUUCUAUUCUGCUGAAUGUAGACUAGAAAAGCAUCUGGAUUGACAUGAUAUUGUGGCAGAAUGUAGACUGGAAAAGCAUGCAUUCUGGAAAGAUAUUGCAGGAAAAUGUAGACUAGGUACAGGGGAUGCAACUGAGGGUGAACUGGCAAGUCACUGGAGAUUGACAAGUAGCAUUUGGACUAGAAGAAUACUAGAGUUUACGUACUGUAAGUGUUUUUACUAUGUUUCUUUGUAUGGGGGAAGGAUAACUAUUGUAUUAAGUGGAAAUGUUCUUCGAGUUCUAACCUGACGGAACAGUUGUCUGCAUACUGAUCAGGAGUGUAAGUUUUGUUUUACAACCUUUUAGUUGAGUUAAUGGGAUGAAUGCCGUAACGUUGUAACAAUUAUAUCUAAUAUAUACUUGAGUUAAUGUGAUGAAUGUCAGAUGCCUUGAUUUGUCGUGUGAAUGAAUAUAUGGUUACUAGUAAUACCCGUGGCGCUGCCACGUUCGCCAA
rnacentral:lncRNA from 1 species